UAGGGAAUCUUCCACAAUGGACGAAAGUCUGAUGGAGCAACGCCGCGUGUGUGAUGAAGGGUUUCGGCUCGUAAAACACUGUUGUAAGAGAAGAAUAGCAUCAAGAGUAACUGCUUGGUGUGUGACGGUAUCUUACCAGAAAGGAACGGCUAAAUACGUGCCAGCAGCCGCGGUAAUACGUAUGUUCCAAGCGUUAUCCGGAUUUAUUGGGCGUAAAGCGAGCGCAGACGGUUUUUUAAGUCCGAAGUGAAAGCCCACAGCUUAACUGUGGAAGUGCUUUGGAAACUGGAUGACUUGAGUGCAGUAGAGGAGAGUGGAAUUCCAUGUGUAGCGGUGAAAUGCGUAGAUAUAUGGAGGAACACCAGUGGCGAAGGCGGCUCUCUGGACUGUAACUGACGUUGAGGCUCGAAAGUGUGGGUAGCAAACA
rnacentral:rRNA from 1 species